rnacentral:lncRNA from 1 species
AAACCCUUUAAUUCAGUCAGCACCAUAAAGCGAGAUUCCACGAUAAGCUAAUGGAAACGCAUUGCAGAGAACAAUAACCAUAAGUUAGAAACUAACUCCUAUUAAAAUCUAACAGAAUUUUGCAUCUACAAAUAACUAUUGCAUUUCAAGUUAAUUUCAGUUAAAUUUCCAACUGCUUCAUAGGCCCAUUCGCAUUUCUGUUGUUCAUACCCCCUGCUUCCUCAUUACACCCCCUUUGGUGCAUCAUCCACAAUUG